GAAGGGAUGUUGAUCGAUUUUCAUCGGUUUUGUUGGCUUUGUGGGAACUUCGAAUUUAAGUCUCCCUUGCUCAAAGGCUGACUGUAUUUGCUGACGGAAGACUUUGCACUCAUUGGUAUUGUGAGAUGUGGCAUUGUGCCACUUGCAGUACUUCAUCUUCUUAAGUUAUUUGGCCGAUGGGAUUGUGUGGUAGGGCGAGAGCUUGAUCUGUCCUUCCUGUAGCAGCAAGUCAAAGAUCUUAUCGGCCUUAGACGUAUCAAAGCUGAACGUCUCCGGCUCUUUCUUUCCAAAUGGCCAUGAGAUUGGCUUUUUGCCCUUGACCUAUUCUGCUAAGCCGAUUUCCGCCUCCUCUUCUGAAUCAGAUCCUCCCACGUACGCC
rnacentral:lncRNA from 1 species